UGGAAUGAAAUCACUUGAUAUUUCUUUUACAAAGAAAAUAGGCCUUAAGCCAUUCUAA
rnacentral:tRNA from 1 species